UUUGGUUGGGUUUUUCUAUGUGCUGACUCUUCUGAGCUGCUUUUCCCUGAGAUCCAAAGCAAACAGCAGGACUGUUUGCAGGACUGUUGGGAUUGAGGCAUUGCUGUUUCUACCAGCAGAGUGACUGCACUUUUAAGCAGACCCGUGAGAACCCUCCGGGCACAAAGGUGGUGGGGAUAUCCAGACAAUUCCUGGUCAGCUAAAUGGAACUUGUGAGAUGUCUGAAGAAGAAGGCCUUCCCUGGGCUUAUUCUAGAGACACAAUCAUUACAGACGCUUGACCCAUCAGAGGAAAUCCAGAUCAGAGCCGGGUACCCAGCACCUGAGUCCUAGACCGACCUCGAUCAGCUGCGGGACCCAGAGCAAGGCCUUUAUCCACCGUGGCGGACACCACUGGUUGCCUAACUCAGUGUUAUUCCUCCUUUGCCUCCUCCCAUUGUGCAACAGAAAAGCCAGCUACUCAUUCUCCCAGCAUUCUUUGCAGCAGGUGGCGGCCCUGUGUGACUCAGCCUUGACCAACGACCUAUAAACAGAAGUCUACUGAGAAGAAGGUGGUGUGGGAAGAACUUCUGAUCGCCAGAUGGAAGGCCCCAGAGUGGCUGGUCCUACCCUUUGCUCGCCAUUCUUCCCUCUUUCUGCAAACAUGAUUUGGGAACUGCGGAAAGUCUCUUACAACUGCGUAGUGACAAUUAUGUCUCUGAGAUCUACCCAACACAACCCUGCCUCCGAGCCUUUGUGUUUGUCCUUCCAACCCCACACCAUCGUCUUGACUUCAACUGUUAGAAACUCAGGUGUCUCAGCAGCCAGGAUGGCAUGCAGCUGAGUGAAGCCGGCACAGGGGGAAGAGGACCACAGCUGCUCACCUGAAACCCCCAAGUCCAUAAGGCUCUGGGCACUGCAGGUUUGCCGUAAAUCAUCUGUGACCAAAACUGUUCUGACCUCAUCUUUUUGGCAGCAAAAUCAGCCCAGAAGAGAUUAGCCCUACUGAAAAGCCUUUACUUAUCACCCGGUGUGAGUAUUCUACAUCGUGCUGUAGACAUCAGUGUGAUUCAUUAUGGGGAAGCUGCUGUGGACCCUACUGGGGGAGUACAAAGCAACAGUGACAUGCACAAUGCUAUCUCUCUUAAAUCCAAAAAUCAUACGAUUUUGGAGUCAUAGUUAACCCCUAACUUUCAAUGAGCAAUCCUGCGCCUGCUCAUUAG
rnacentral:lncRNA from 1 species